CUGAUGCUGAUUUAAAGGGUCAUUUUUGUAUCUACCGUUGAAAUUCAGUAUUGGGUCCAUAUGGCAAUUUCCGAUGAUAAAAUCUCUUUCUGUAUUAAUUUUCUCCUUUUAUGAAGAGGCCCACACUGGGUCCCCAUCAGCCCAUUUCCAAAAGCACCACGACAGAUGACUUUAUUUUAAUUUGUAAAAACUUUGAUGUUUGCGAACUUGGCUCCUGUACAGUCCUAAACUACCAGCAGGAGGUAAUAGCUUCCAGGACUAAACUUUACUUGAUUUCCCACUGUUCUUCGUGCUCGCUGAUUUGUGCUUUAAGGGGGAACUAUUCAUUUUCAAGCUGAAUUUCCCUCUGUACAGAGCUCGCUGUUAUUCUAGGAACCAUUCAAUAUUCAUAUUCAAGGCCCCAUUCUUGAAAAUCAAUGCCAACAUAAGGCCUGAGAAGAGUGGGUAGAAAAGUGAAUAGAGGGAGCUGAGUCAUGAAAACCUGGAUGAUUUGGGAAAGGGAGAGGAGGAAACAGACACAAAAUGCCCAGGAGCUGGAUUAGCAAGGACUGAUGACAAAGGGAUGCCUCUGCCCACUAAGGGCAUUCUCAACAGAGGCAGGAGAGAAGCUGGGCAAAACAUCUCUGCAGGCUUCAAAAAGGUAAGUCUAACCCUAACCCUUCCACCACUCCCAAGCACUCUUUAAAAACCCUUGAUGGCAGCAUCCAUAAAAAUGUCAGGCAGUAUUGCCAUGACCCUGCUGUGCCCCCACCCCCCAUGGAAAGCUUGACCAGGCAUCCUCAGAUGCCCAGCACAGGAGCAGCCUUAAUGCAGGUACAGCUUUUAGCCAGGGGUCAAAUGCAGACAGGGAUGCAUCAAGAGCCCAUGCUGGAGCAAGAUGCCUUCUGCAGCCUCCAGGCUAUGCAGCCUACCCCGAAGGACUGAGCUCUUUUCGCAGAGAAAAGACAAUCCUGAAACUUAAUGCACUUUUACAAGAGACAUCAUGCUCCCCCACCCUCAAAUGGCUUUGGUUUGGUGCCCGGAACAUCUGGUCACCCUAUAGCCUUUUUUUUAUCCAGUAGAUUCAUUUUCUCAGCACACUGCCGACUGCCAACAGAUGAGCUGCAACUGCUGGCACCGGGGAGCCAGCGAGACAUCAGCAUGCAAGAAGUAUUGCCAAUUCUUUUAUCAUCACCAGUUUGUAGAAACAAGGAGCUGUCUUCCUUUAAAAGAAAACAGACAGACCACCCCAGUGUCAGCCCAGCCUUCAAAGGGGCCUUUUUGCUGGAGGAAACCAAGGACAGGUCCAGCCUGAGCCACCCCUACACUGCGGACAAGUCCCCAUUGCACUGGCUGUGUGACCUGCACCCAUCAGGAUGCUCUCAGGGCAGGACAGUGCCAUGCUAGGAUGCUGCUGCUUAGCAAUAAUGUGGUAGCUGCCAGCACCUCAAGGUGAGUUACCAGCAGGUGAAAGCCCACAGCUCACCUGCUCAGUAGCACCUGCCCCCAUAAAGCCCCACUGCAUUUGCUAUG